CUUGACCGACCCCAGCCACAGCGGCUCGUCGGCGGUCCGUCCGGCGCCGUACACGGCCUGGAGGGCCUGGGCCUC
rfam:Streptomyces scabiei 87.22 complete genome